CCUACGGGGGGCAGCAGUAGGGAAUCUUCCACAAUGGGCGAAAGCCUGAUGGAGCAACGCCGCGUGGGUGAAGAAGGUCUUCGGAUCGUAAAACCCUGUUGUUAGAGAAGAAAGUGCGUGAGAGUAACUGUUCACGUUUCGACGGUAUCUAACCAGACAGCCACGGCUAACUACGUGCCAGCAGCCGCGGUAAUACGUAGGUGGCAAGCGUUAUCCGGAUUUAUUGGGCGUAAAGGGAACGCAGGCGGUCUUUUAAGUCUGAUGUGAAAGCCUUCGGCUUAACCGGAGUAGUGCAUUGGAAACUGGGAGACUGGAGUGCAGAAGAGGAGAGUGGAACUCCAUGUGGAGCGGUGAAAUGCGUAGAUAUAGGGAAGAACACCAGUGGCGAAAGCGGCUCUCUGGUCUGUAACUGACGCUGAGGUUCGAAAGCGUGGGUAGCAAACAGGAUUAGAUACCCCUGUAGUC
rnacentral:rRNA from 1 species